CUUAUAGCUACAAUUAAGUAAACCAAAGUUUUGGAAAUACAUAAUGCCAUCUAACCAGCUUUCAAAGAAUGUUAGCUAUAUACAGUUAUCUUGGCCAGCCAGCUAACGUUAGCUAUUUAAACAACUAGCUAUUAGCCUAGACAACCACCACGGUUACGGUCGAGUCAGGGGUAACUGCAUAUGUGGCGUGUGUCUGGAAGUGGAUGUGUCAACAGAAGUGGAAGGAUCAAAAGUAGUGGGUGUAUGGAAAACGAAUCAGCUAAUUGGGCAGAUUGGUUGCCACUCAAGACCGUUUUGCGUGGCUGCUGUGUUUUGCGGAGUGUGGUCUUGGUCAGCAGAGAUGGAAUUUCACAUAUCACAGUUGUUAAAGCUGCCUCUUUCUUGGCUGCAUGAAUUUAUCCCAGUGCCAGAAGUGCCGAUUUGUAUAAUUUCUCCAUUAUCAAGCCCCAAGACUAUACCAGUUUGUGGGCACACAUUGAGUCUCACAUAUUGAAGGCUGUGCUGCGUAGAGAGGGAUCUGUGGAUGCUGGUGGCAUUUCUGCGUCUGAAGCCGUUCGACAGGAGAGAGUGGUGGAACAGAGUCAUACAGAGACCUGUCACACAGGGGGACAUGACCGGCCUUCAGAACCCACAAGCUCUGGUGAAGUGUAUCACGCUGCAUCGUACGAAGACCAGCCGUGUGUGUGGGCAGCCUCUGGUCUCUCUACCGGAGAAGAGCGUUAGUGUUGAAGAGGUGAAGCUGACAAAGAGAGGGAGGAAUACGAGCUGGCACGCACAGAGGGAUGCACCACCAUCAGCAGGUAUGUUGCGUAGGGGACCGUCAUCAGGAACUGUGCGGAUGUUCUGGCUAUCCUGAUCAGGCUGAGACAGUUCUGCUGCCACCAUGACCUACUGGGCAAGACCACUACACACACAGGUGUGGUAGCUGUGACUCCUGCAGAGAUGAGAGAACGUCUGAUAGAGAGGCUGGUGCUAGGCAGUGGCUCUGAUGAGUGUGCUGUGUGUCUGGACUGUCUGCCUGCCCUUCAUCACAUCGCAGAGGUAUUAUGUACCCGAGCAGGUGUGCCCUCUGUGCAGAUUCCAGAUCAAGUCCAGUGAGCUGGUGGAGUUUCCUCAGGAAGAGAAGGAGGAGAACAACCUCUCAGAGAACUGGAGGAGCAGCUCCAAGGUGGAGGCUCUAAUGCAGGGCUAUUGUAUUGUCAAAUGUCAAGUGUAUAAAAAAAGAGGUCUGUGACAAGGAUUCAGUUUAGGCAUAGACACUUGUAAUCUCCAACUGGUUUAGUCAUGAUGAUAACACGGACAUAAUAACAUCGACACCCCUCCAAGUCAAGACCUAGUACCUCCUCAAAUAUACUCUAAAUGCCAUUCUGUUGGGGCGGUACUUUGUUUGAUGAAUAUCUCCCAUUAAAAAUGCCCUCUUCCAUAAUUCAAUUCUGCCUUUCAUU